GUCUCCUGGAUUUCUUGGACAUGUGACUAGGUCAUGUUACCAUCCACAUCAUCUCCGGGGAGGAAAAUGCCUUUCCCUGAGAUCUCAUGAGAUUAGAAAUGAGAUUUCCCAGCAAUGUUCUG